rnacentral:rRNA from 1 species
UACGGAGGGUGCAAGCGUUAUCCGGAUUCACUGGGUUUAAAGGGUGCGUAGGUGGGCAAGUAAGUCAGUAGUGAAAUCUCCGGGCUUAACCCGGAAAGGUCAGCCGAUACUGCGGGGCUAGAGUGCAGAAGGGGCAACUGGAAUUCUCGGUGUAGCGGUGAAAUGCGUAGAUAUCGAGAGGAACACCUGCGGCGAAGGCGGGUUGCUGGGCUGACACUGACGCUGAGGCGCGAAAGCUAGGGGAGCGAACGGG